CAGCCGCCGCGGUAAUACGUAGGUGGCAAGCGUUGUCCGGAAUUAUUGGGCGUAAAGCGCGCGCAGGUGGUUUAAUAAGUCUGAUGUGAAAGCCCACGGCUCAACCGUGGAGGGUCAUUGGAAACUGUUAAACUUGAGUGCAGGAGAGAAAAGUGGAAUUCCUGGUGUAGCGGUGAAAUGCGUAGAGAUUAGGAGGAACACCAGUGGCGAAGGCGGCUUUUUGGCCUGUAACUGACACUGAGGCGCGAAAGCGUGGGGAGCAAACAGGAUUAGAUACCCCGGUAGUCCCUGUCUCUUAUAC
rnacentral:rRNA from 1 species